GCAGCCAUGCCGCGUGUGUGAAGAAGGCCUUCGGGUUGUAAAGCACUUUCAGCAGUGAGGAAGGCGUGGUGGUUAAUACCCACCACGUUUGACGUUAGCUGCAGAAGAAGCACCGGCUAACUCCGUGCCAGCAGCCGCGGUAAUACGGAGGGUGCGAGCGUUAAUCGGAAUUACUGGGCGUAAAGCGCAUGCAGGCGGUUUGUUAAGCAAGAUGUGAAAGCCCCGGGCUCAACCUGGGAACCGCAUUUUGAACUGGCAGGCUAGAGUCUUGUAGAGGGGGGUAGAAUUUCAGGUGUAGCGGUGAAAUGCGUAGAGAUCUGAAGGAAUACCGGUGGCGAAGGCGGCCCCCUGGACAAAGACUGACGCUCAGAUGCGAAAGCGUGGGGAGCAAACAGGAUUAGAUACCCUGGUAGUCCACGCUGUAAACGAUGUCUACUUGGAGGUUGCGGUCUUGAACUGUGGCUUUCGGAGCUAACGCGUUAAGUAGACCGCCUGGGGAGUACGGUCGCAAGAUUAAAACUCAAAUGAAUUGACGGGGGCCCGCACAAGCGGUGGAGCAUGUGGUUUAAUUCGAUGCAACGCGAAGAACCUUACCUACUCUUGACAUCCACAGAAGCCGGAAGAGAUUCUGGUGUGCCUUCGGGAACUGUGA
rnacentral:rRNA from 1 species